CCUACGGGAGGCAGCAGUGGGGAAUAUUGCACAAUGGGGGAAACCCUGAUGCAGCGACGCCGCGUGGGCGAAGAAGUAUUUCGGUAUGUAAAGCCCUAUCAGCAGGGCAGAAGAAAUGACGGUACCUGAGUAAGAAGCACCGGCUAAAUACGUGCCAGCAGCCGCUGUCAUACGUGUGGUGCAAGCGUUAUCCGGAUUUACUGGGUGUAAAGGGAGCGCAGGCGGCACGGCAAGCCUGAUGUGAAAGCCCGCGGCCCAACCGCGGGACUGCAUUGGGAACUACCGGGCUGGAGUGCCGGAGAGGUAGGCGGAAUUCGUAGUGUAGCGGUGAAAUGCGUAGAUAUUAGGAGGAACCCCAGUGGCGAAGGCAGCCUACUGGACGGUGACUGACGCUGAGGCUCGAAGGCGUGGGGAGCAAACAGGAGUAGAUACCCUAGUAGUC
rnacentral:rRNA from 1 species